UUAAAUAACUGACUCUGUCUGGUCACAGUACACCUUCAAUGUGCUCAUAUUACUUUAUUGAAAAACAUUGAACAAUACCUUUAAAACAAUACAAACUUGUUUGAAUUAGACAUUAAGUAGUGUUCACAGCAGAGCAACAGGGGACAGUGUCUGAUUUUCAGACCUUCAUGGCAGUAAAUGAGAAGCCGAUCUUUUCCACUAUAUUGGCCGAUCUCUGAUGUCCCAAAAUUAAGAAAAUCUCUGCCCAUAAAUGGGCCGAGACGAUUUAUUGGUGCAACCCCAGUUUACAGCAAUGGUUUUCCAAAGGUUUCAGUUCCUUCUCAAGACCCAACUUUAAGAACCACUGGUUUACAGCAUCAGUCUCCUGUCAUUAGGUGAAAGUAGGCGAACAAGAGUGGCAUUACAUCGCAACACAGGGUCCCCUGUCACACACAUGUCAAGACUUCUGGCAGAUGGUGUGGGAGCAGGGUGUUUCUAUUAUUGCCAUGGUGACUGCUGAACAGGUGAGUUCAUUUUAUCGGUUCAAAGCUUUAUAUUAAAUAGCUCACUCCCCAACUGGCCUUUCUACGUCGUCCGUUCUCGUAGGAAAAUGGUCGAGAGAAGAGCUUUCGAUACUGGCCCCGACUUGGCUCACAAGACAACACUGUGACUUUUGGGCAAUUUAAGAUCAGCACACAGAAACACAUUCAGUCCGGCUGCUACGCCAAGACAGUGCUUACAGUACAACACCUCCUGACUGGAGAGAAGAGGACUGCCUGUCACCUGCAGUACACAGACUGGCCUACCUAUAGCUGUCCUGAGGACCUCAAAGGCUUCCUCGGUAUCGGUUUACAUUGACAUGGGCUUGGUGUAAUCGAAAAUUGUACUAUUUGUGCAAUUUAUUCUCAGCUCUGUUUACCCUCCAGCAUACCUGGAGGAGAUCCAGUCAACAAGGAGACACACAAACUCACACAACAAACCCGUGGUGGUCCACUGCAGUGCCGGAGUGGGUCGGUCUGGAGUCGUCAUCCUGUCUAAAAUCAUGAUAGCUUGUCUGGAGCACGACGAGCUGUUAGACGUCCCAAAGUUCCUGAGGAUGCUUCGUGAUCAGAGGAUGAUGAUGGUUCAAACGCUGUCUCAGUAUACCUUCGUCUACAAAGUCCUCAUCGAGUACCACCGCAAUUCCAACGUGGAAUUAAAAUGACACUGAGCUAAAGCAUGAAAUGCUACUGAUUAUAAAUGUCAAAAAAUUGCCAUGGAGAUGUCUGAUUAUUGCAUCAAGCUAUAGAGUCACCUGGUGCUCUCUAAUCUGAUGUUUAUCAGUUUAAUACAACAUGAAGAGAAAUUUUAUACUAACAUACAGACUUUUAUUGUUAAAAUCAGAUGCAGGAGGGUCUCAUGAUAUACACUCCUCAUGUGUGGUAAAGCUUCUAAAAAGUAAAUGAAAUUUAAAAUACAAAGUUUAAAUUACUAUGCUUCACAGUAAAAAGAUGCACCGAAGGAUCAAACUAUGGCUAAAGUUUGAUCCGUACUUGAGAUUUAGUGUUGACGUCCAACCUUUAUACUCUAUCCUCAGUUUUGUUUUGCUUUUUUUCUUCCUUUUAACAAAUAAAUACUUUCAGUUAUAAGCAGUAAUAAUUUUGAAUUGUUUAUCUGCACUGGCCAGUUUAUUUUUGACUUCUUCCUAAUUAUCUUUUACUAUAAACUAAGAAUAAAAAAUGUAUAAAACACAGUCUUACAUACCAAAUAAAAUGAAUUAAAGGCAACUUUUAUGAAAUCCUGUAAAAGGUAAAGUCUUCCCCUGCAGGUUGCCAGUUCUUUCCCUUCAGAUAAACACUGAGGUAACAUUAAACUCAUACUGUUGACGUUCUGUAUACCGAU